UACGUAGGUGGCAAGCGUUGUCCGGAUUUACUGGGCGUAAAGAGUAUGUAGGCGGACAUUUAAGUAGAAAGUGAAAGGCUCGAGCUUAACUCGGACACUGCUUUCUAUACUGGAUGUCUUGAGUGCCGGAGAGGAAAGCGGAACGACACGUGUAGCGGUGAAAUGCGUUGAUAUGUGUCGGAACACCAAUGGCGAAGGCAGCUUUCUGGACGGAGUCGCAAGACUUAAAACUGACGCUGAGAUACGAAAGCGUGGGUAGCGAACAGG
rnacentral:rRNA from 1 species